UAAGGAAUCUUCGGCAAUGGACGAAAGUCUGACCGAGCAACGCCGCGUGAGUGAAGAAGGUUUUCGAAUCGUAAAACUCUGUUGGUAGAGAAGAACGUUGGUGAGAGUGGAAAGCUCAUCAAGUGACGGUAACUACCCAGAAAGGGACGGCUAACUACGUGCCAAG
rnacentral:rRNA from 1 species